rfam:Schistosoma rodhaini strain Burundi genome assembly, scaffold: SROB_scaffold0006278
AUUCAGCUGACGAGUCCCAAAUAGGACGAAACGCGCGCCAAGCUGGAU